CAACAGAACUAUUUGCAUCUCGGUGAAAGUGAUUCCUCCUGCACUCAGGCAGGUACUAUUUUGCUGGCUGUACUCAGAGAAUAUUUGAGUUGGACUCAAGUGGUAGCCUAGCCCCAGUGAGCCAUGGGUCAGAGGUCACUCAGUUGUCAAGAGUCGUCUCCAGAGUCCCUGAAUUAAAGUAGCCUGAUCUGAGACACUCUUCUUCCUGCUGUUUAGAAAGGUAAGUGUUCCAGGCCUUGUAGCUAUGAAAUGGCAGAGACCAUUCAUCUGGGUCAGUGAAUGGAAAGAGCAGACCUGCAGUCGGCAUCUGAACCAGUGAGAAAUAAACCUUUACUGUGUGGAGACACUGAGAUUUGGAGCACGACCUAAUCCACCUGGACUACCAAACGCACCGAGUGUCGCUCAUGCUGUUGGUCCCCCUGGGGAGCUGAUGCCUGCAGCACGGGUCUCGUCUUCAGGCCACUUUCAAAAUGACUCCACUGGGCUUUGUCAGCCCCAAGAUAAGAGCUCAGAGAUUAAAUCUAUUGACGUGGGAGGACAAGAGAAGAAGAGGAGAGGAUUAGAAAAAUUGGCCUCCUUAUGACUCAUGCUUGUGGAGUCUGGCACUGAGAGUUUUUCCCCUAAGUAAUCUGCAAGGAGACCUCUGGAGCCCUAUUUGCCAGAUAGGAGAUUGUGCACAGUGACUGUCAGCUAUUGAAGUAAGUGCUCCCAACUCAAGUUGAUUAUUUUUUUACGCUCAAUUUUUUUCCUUUGAUGAGAUUUGGAGGAAUUCAUCGUGUUUCAAGAACAGAUAUGCACAGAGAAAGAGAAACAAAUUUGGCUACCCAAUCUUCAUUUUUCCCUUGGCUCUUUAAUAAGUGCAGAAAAAAAUUAAGGUCUGUUUACUGAGAAGUUGCAAUGUACCAAGGAGUUUAUAUAUCUUCUAUUAUUAAAUGGUAAUGACGACCCUGUUUAAAGAUGGGGAAAACCCAAAGAUUCAUUAAUUUUUUUUUAAAGAUCACACUGUUAUUACUAGUACUCAAAACAGCAGGGAUUUAAACUUGGGACUCUCUCUCCUCGUAUCCAACCCUUUUCAUCAUUAUACCCAUUAGUCUCUCUGUAAUGAAUUUCAAAAUUAUCGCAAUUGCUCAUCCUCUAGAAAUUUCCUUGUUGAUGUCUACUAUAAUUAGAAUUCCAGGUUGUUUGUGAAUGCUAAAAUGUAUCAUUAGAGUUACUCAAAUCGGAAGCAACCCACUCUAGAAGAAUCUCCAGAAUGUCAUAAGACAGAUGAAUGUAUAUAGACAGUGGUUUGAGAGAAAAAAUGUGAACGUUCUACCCAGAAAGAUAUCAACAUCAUAAUAACUUCCAUUUAUUAAGCUCUUAUUAUGUGACUGGGACUGUGCCAAGGAGUUCUGAUGAAUUUUCUCAUUUAAUUCUCAAGACAACCCUAGCAGGCAAAAACUAUUAUCAUUUCCAUUUUAUACAUAGUAAACUAAGACUUGCAGCAUUUAAUUAUCUUGUCCAAAGUCAUAUAGCUAAUGAGUGAUCUGGUGUCGUCUGAUUAUCUUCCAUUAACCAUAGAAACUUGUGUGGAAUAACUGUACAAGGAGUUCAAAGGGAAUUUAAAAGUUCUUAUUGGAUACACAAGAAAGAAAAUGAAGGUAUUUGUUGGACAAGUAAGAAGAACAAAGUAAUUCCAGGAGAGUCCAAGUGUUUUGGAUAAUGGUAGAUGGAUAAAUGGAGCAGUCUGGAACUGCGCUCUCUUCCUUGCACAAUGUGCACUAUAUUUCAUGUCAAAAAUUAGAAAUUAAGUAUAAGCAGAUGCUCCAUUUCAUGAACAGAGAUUUUUGUUGGAUGGAUGUGUCUGUUAAAGUUGACUCUUGUCUGUGUGACAACCCAGGCCAUCUCAGAAUCUCCCUGGGAACUGGUCACUGAAAUUGCCCAGCAAGGGUAGACCCUUAGCCCUGGUGAGAGAAGAUGAAGGCUCCCCCUAGUGCUCUACUGCACAACAUACCCUAGUUCUUAAACAGAGGGUCAGGAGAGGAAAUAAGGACUAUACUACUUGUAAUAUUUGUGUCACUGAACUCCAUUAAUGGGUCUCUGCUUUAAAAGUUUAGGAAUGCAUAACUUGAUCACUUACAAUGUGUUAGUCAACUAUGGUUAAAAUGACAUUAUAUAAAAACCCAUCUCAAAAUAUAACUGCCUUCCAACAAUAAACUCCUUAUUUCUAGCCCCGGCAUCUGUGAAUUGGCUGAGGUUUAACUGGUCGAGAUUGGGCUAAAUUAGGCUGAACUUCAAGUUGUAGAUUUGGGUCUAGAUUGGCUCCAUGGUCCAGAAGCCAUCUGAGCAUAUACUUCCCAAUGGAGAAAGGAGGUAGAAGCACAACCAGGACAAGUUAAAUGAUGCAAACCCACUUUAAAUUCCUAUUUAUGUCACAUCUGCUACCAUUGUGUUGGCCAAGGCUAGUCACAAGACCCAGUUUAAAGUCCAGCCGUUGGAAAAUAUACUACCUACCAUGAAGGCAUGGAAACAUUGUGAGAACUUGGAAACCAUCUAGUUAAAUUUAACAUUUAAAAGAUGGGUUGGGGAGAAAAUAAAUUAUCAAGAUGAGUGCUGAGAGAUGUAAUUGAAAUCUACCUUGGAUACAAGUCAGUUGU